rnacentral:rRNA from 1 species
CCUACGGGAGGCAGCAGUGGGGAAUAUUGGGCAAUGGAGGAAACUCUGACCCAGCAACGCCGCGUGAAUGAUGAAGGUCUUCGGAUUGUAAAGCUCUUUUCUAAGGGAAGCAGAAAGUGACGGUACCUUAGGAAUAAGCCUCGGCUAACUACGUGCCAGCAGCCGCGGUAAUACGAAGGAGGCAAGCGUUAUCCGGAAUGACUGGGCGUAAAGGGUGUGUAGGUGGUUUGACAAGGUGGUAGCGUAAAUCCGGGGCCCAACCUCGGCACUACUACCAAAACUGUCGGACUUGAGUGCAGGAGAAGCAAAUGGAAUGCCUGGUGUAGCGGUGAAAUGCGUAGAUAUUAGGAAGAACACCAGUGGCGAAGGCGAUUUGCUGGACUGUAACUGACACUGAGGCACGAAAGCGUGGGGAGCAAACAGGAUUAGAUACCCUUGUAGUC